rnacentral:rRNA from 1 species
UACGUAGGGGCCAAGCGUUGUCCGGAUUUAUUGGGCGUAAAGAGCGUGUAGGCGGCCAGGUAGGUCCGUUGUGAAAACUGGAGGCUUAACCUCCAGCUGUCGAUGGAAACCAUCUGGCUAGAGUCCGGAAGAGGAGAGUGGAAUUCCUGGUGUAGCGGUGAAAUGCGCAGAUAUCAGGAAGAACACCCGUGGCGAAGGCGGCUCUCUGGGACGGUACUGACGCUGAGACGCGAAAGCGUGGGGAGCGAACAGG